UACGAAGGGGGCUAGCGUUGCUCGGAAUCACUGGGCGUAAAGGGCGCGUAGGCGGCCAUUCAAGUCGGGGGUGAAAGCCCAGGGCUCAACCCUGGAAUUGCCUUCGAUACUGCUUGGCUAGAGACCGGAAGAGGUAAGUGGAACUGCGAGUGUAGAGGUGAAAUUCGUAGAUAUUCGCAAGAACACCAGUGGCGAAGGCGGCUUACUGGUCCGGUUCUGACGCUGAGGCGCGAAAGCGUGGGGAACAAACAGG
rnacentral:rRNA from 1 species